AUUGAACGCUGGCGGCAUGCCUUACACAUGCAAGUCGAACGGCAGCACGGGUGCUUGCACCUGGUGGCGAGUGGCGAACGUGUGAGUAAUACAUCGGAACGUACCUUAUCGUGGGGGAUAACGCAGCGAAAGCUGUGCUAAUACCGCAUACGCCCUGAGGGGGAAAGCGGGGGAUCGAAAGACCUCGCGCGAUUAGAGCGGCCGAUGCCUGAUUAGCUUGUUGGUGGGGUAAAAGCCCACCAAGGCGACGAUCAGUAGCUGGUCUGAGAGGACGAUCAGCCACACUGGGACUGAGACACGGCCAAGACUCCUACGGGAGGCAGCAGUGGGGAAUUUUAGACAAUGGGGGCAACCCUGAUCCAGCAAUGCCGCGUGAGUGAAGAAGGCCUUCGGGUUGUAAAGCUCUUUUGUCAGGGAAGAAACACCGGCUCUAACACAGUCCGGGAAUGACGGUACCUGAAGAAUAAGCACCGGCUAACUACGUGCCAGCAGCCGCCGUAA
rnacentral:rRNA from 1 species